AGCUGCAGCUGUCCCUCACGCUGCUUCAUGGGGGAAAUACAGCGGGUCUCCGGAGCAUCGCUGGGUACAGGACGCAGGGGGCCGGCCGCCCAAACUCCCAGACUGCGCGUCUCUCGGCGGAACCCGCGCCCGGACGGAGGAGAGGCCAGCUCCAUUCCGGACAGAAGCUCCCCGAGGACAUACGAGACCGGGUCCACGCACCGGAGAGUCGGGACCGUCCCAGAGGGUCAGGAGCAGCCGGAGAUGAGGAGAUGACGGCCGUUGCCUCCCCGCCGGGAAACAAGUCGUAAAUGAGUCAGUGGCAAAGCCGAGGACCGGGGACGGAAGAGCCGGUUUUCUUCCGUGAAAAAAUGUUAAAAGUAAGUUUUGAACUGCAGGAUAAUCCAUAGCUAUGUAUAAGACUGACCUCUUUAUCAAAGGAACUAAGGAGAAGAAGCUUCAAUUUACCUUUAGCGUUUAUAGUUUUCUUCUGUGGGAGACUGAAUUCCCUCUUGAAAUCUGUGAUGCUUAAAAAGUGUUGACUGACUGCAACUUUUAGGUCUGUUCGGUGUCAUACAUUUUCUUAGGCUUAGAUUGAAUUUUAUUUUUAUUUUUCUACAUACGGACGCUUUUGAAACUGUCAGCUGUGUGCGGUUGCAUUGAUAUUAUUUAUGGUGGCUGGACAACGUGUUCUGAGUUUUUGCUUAGAGUGUUUUUUCUCUCAAAGGGUUAGACAAAAAACAUCACAGGAGCUGAGGGGACAAUUUUGAGAAACGAGAGUGUUGCCUGUGUACAGCUUCUCUCUAGUCGACUGGGAGAGGUCACGGAGACUGCAGGGGUGUCCGUAUCGAGUCCCGAACGUAAAGUUGAUCUCUCAUCAGAUCAGUUCACGGGGUGCCAGCUGCCGGCAACUAGACACUCACAUUGCUGUACUGGACUGGCGGAGGGUUGCAGAAGCUCAUGAUGGAGCUCAGCUUGACUCCUGAUAUGUUCCUGCCCUACCAGGGACAGCCUUACUGCGGUCAGCCCGCAGCCUCAUGCAGCAUCUCUAAUGUACAGGCACCCCCGCCACCACCACCUCUCUCAUCACUUCUACCCGCCCCUGGCCACAUUCCCACCCCUGCCCCCAUCCUAAUCCCUGGCCCCGUCCCUGCCCCCGUCCCUGCCCCCACCCCUGCCCCGCUCAAGCCGGGACAGGGAGGUUUCCGGAAGGUGUGCCGCACAGAGGAGGCGGGGCCCUGCCCCUUCCCGGGUCUGCCGGCCGGGGUGCUGGAGAUGCGGGUGAAGGAGGGCAGCAAGAUCCGGAACCUGAUGGGCUUCGCCAUGACCCGCAUGCAGGGCGGGGCCGCGGGAGACGCGGGCGGGACGGGGCUCAGGCAGGUGGUCUUCACCGGGUCGGGCCGCGCCGUCACCAAGACCAUCACCUGCGCCGAGAUCAUGAAGCGCAAGGUGGGCGGCCUGCACCAGCUGACCAAGCUGUGCUACAGGAGCGUGCGCGAGGUGUGGGAGAGCCUCGAGGGCGGGGCCCCCGACAUGACCAUGCACAGGACCGUCCCUUCCAUCAGCAUCCUGCUGUCCAAGGACCAGCUGGACCCCGGGGAGCCCGGCUACCAGCCCCCGGAGACGCUCGGCGCCCUCUGGGAGCCCCCGGCGCAAGGCCAGCGGGAGGGGGGGGGGGCCCCCCCGACUACCAACAAGAGACCCCUCAGCCCAGCCCCCUACAGCAGCCAGCCUGAAUGCAAGAGACCCUGCCGGAGUGACGGGGGCUUCUCUGCACCCUUCCCAAAAUGACUGAACAUUUUUGGGAGAGCAGUUGACAGUUGGUGGCGAUUACUCAACUACAACUAUCAGUCAGAGAUGGACCGGCAUAAACUGAUUCUGAUGUGUGUGUGUGUGUGUGUGUGUGUGUGUGUGUGUGUGUGCUUGCGUGUGUGUAUGCAUGUGCAUACUUUUUUCGAUUUCUCAUUUCAAGCAAUGACAGUGUCACUUCCUACGAUUGUUUCAAGGUCUUGCCCUAGACUUAUCCCCUGGGUUGGGAGGUUUCUAUAGUCUGAGAAACGUAGCAAUCAACCUUGUGGUGGCCUGACAACAUAUCCAUUAACUUUCUCCAUAGUUUGUUCCUGUUUUCCAUGAUUAUCCAAAUGCAAAAGACAGGUUUACUACACAGAAUCCCGGCUGACAAAGGAAACGGAUCACCACGGUCUUUUGAUGCAAAUGUGAGCAAAGAGACAAAUGCGACAGUAUCUGCUUGGAUAAGCCGGUGCAUCCGGAACUGGCUUACAGAAGUGCCAACAGCUGUUAUAAACAUAGAUUAUCAUUAAGAUUGUAACAGAACAAGACGCUUUAGGAAUACAAAAAAGGCCCGGGACCGUUAUCUUCUCACCCCAAAGGAGCGCUGCAGACUCAGCUAACCUUUAAUCUCUGCGAAGUGCCCAGUGGCUUGGAGCCACGCGAAAAAGGCCACAAUUCACAGGCCAGCUGACAGUGCUCUCGGUGUCAGGGAGAUGCAUGCACCGCUACCUUGCGUAGUUUUGCAAAGCGCUUGUGCUUGCUGAUGCUGGCGAUCAGAAAAUAUAACCGUGCUGUGACCCAGGCAAGGCUGCCUAAAGUUAUUCACUCUGCCACACACCUUUUUCUUAUGGCCGCUGAGACACCAAGGGCAACACUGCAAUGCUCUAUUGAUCAAGAGGAAGGUUAAAGUUAAUAUCCGCGGGCGGUAAAUGCACGACACCGCGGGUAUACAUCUGGACUGCGCCGAUAAGCCCCGCUGCGUGAAUGGACAUGUUCUGCAAAUGACCUGCAGUGUCUUGUGUUUCAAGCUUAAUGAGAAACGCAUCUGUUAGCGUUCUUGGCCUGAACUAGUUUGAGUUCUCUGGUGAAUUAGGUCAUUGUCAUAUUUGUUUAAUGUGUAUUAAAGAUCUUUGCCAAUAAUC